rnacentral:rRNA from 1 species
AGAGUUUGAUCAUGGCUCAGAACGAACGCUGGCGGCGUGCUUAACACAUGCAAGUCGAGUGCGCGUCUGUAGCAAUACAGAUGGCGCACGGCGCACGGGUGCGUAACACGUGGGCAAUCUGCCCUUCGAUGGGGAAUAUCUUCGGGAAACCGAAGCGAAUUCCGCAUAACAUUCCUUGGACUUCGGUUUGGGGACUCAAAGCCGUAAGGCGUCGAAGGAGGAGCCCGCGCACGAUUAGCUAGUUGGUAGGGUAACGGCCUACCAAGGCUUUGAUCGUUAGCUGGUCUGAGAGGAUGGCCAGCCACACUGGAACUGAGACACGGUCCAGACUCCUACGGGAGGCAGCAGUGGGGAAUCUUGCACAAUGGGCGAAAGCCUGAUGCAGCGACGCCGCGUGGGGGAUGAAGCAUCUCGGUGUGUAAACCCCUUUCGACCCGGAAGAAUGCCUCGCAAGAGGACUGACGGUACGGGUAUAAGAAGCCCCGGCUAACUACGUGCCAGCAGCCGCGGUAAGACGUAGGGGGCCAGCGUUGUUCGGAAUUACUGGGUGUAAAGGGUUCGUAGGCGGUGCGGCAAGUUGGGAGUGAAAUCUCUGGGCUCAACCCCAGAGCUGCUUUCCAAAACUGCUGUGCUUUGAUGUGGAGGGGCACGUGGAAUUGCCAGUGUAUGGUUAAUUCUUUAUAUUUCC